UAGGAAUUCCACAUGUAAAUUUUAGGGGGACACAAUUCCGCCCAUCACAGGGAUAUGAGCUGAAAGAAUAUCUUGGCCAAAUUAUUCCAUCCCACCAGCAUCAGGAGAAGGGAACCAAACUGUAUCAGAGAGCUCCACAGGAAACCCAGUGUGGGAGUAAGGAGGCAUUUCCCCACCAGCUCUGCAGUGAAGCAGAUCUCCCUGGAUGCUCUCCCCGUAGCAGCACAGCCCACGGCAGCCAGGACUGCAGGGUAAGUGGAAAUCCAGGACCCCAAAGCCGGGCUGCCAGCUGCUCAUCUAGACCUCUGUUCCUGCCUCUCAGCUACCCUUCCCUCUUGCCUGGGAGCCAUGGAUAAAAACAACUACCUGCUCUGUCUGGAAACCAACACCAGAGGCUGCAUCUUAUUUGCAUUUCCUUCUCUUCCUCCGCCCUCUCAGAUCUGAGUCCAGAAUGACAUACCUGUAUGAGGAAGAUCACGGCUUGGCAUCAACUUUAGAGACAGAAUAGGAAAUGUCCUUGAAAGAAUUACAGGUAGACGGAGAAUCAUUUGAAAGAAAACCUUCUUGGCUGCAGAUUGCACACAUAUUUUUGAACAUCUCAGAGUAAAAAGGAAUGGUUCAAGUCGCUUGUCAAAUCUAAGCGGAUGCGUGGCUCCUGGGAGGGUAGCUGAAGAUAUUACACACAGGGUGCCUGCAAAAACAAUAAACCAUUCUCCAUGGGUGAGGAUGACAUUCCUGACCGGCCCUCGGAGAGGAGGAGCUUACAGUUGCUUUCCCUGGGGAGACCACCACUCCUGUCACCUGGUUGCCAUUUGUCGCUAGCCCGCCGGGUUGGGGGCGCAGCUAGGUGAAGAGAACAAAGUUUGCCUCUGUGCAAAGCUAACUGACCCAUUCACCAAUCCCACCAAUCACACUCCUGACGUCAGUCUUCCUGGCAGGAGCCACAGACCCACAUGUCUAACUGCUCCAUAGGAACCAAUGCGUCUGCAAACAGACUUCUGCCCCCCAGAGCAGGCUUGCUCUGGAGGGCUGGAGUCUGUGCACAGAGCUCUGCCCCCUGUCACCGCCCCCUGCACCCUGGGCCUCUCCUUGUGAAGAUGGCUUACACACGCGUCCCAGAUGUUCCCUGAAGCCGAGAGCCCUGGAAACGGCUGCGUAAAAACACAUGCGCUUGCUAAGGGCCGGACUGGAACGUCACCAAAUGGUCCCGGGCUGUGGUCUGAUUACUGGGCAGUUUAAGACCCAACCCUGUUUUCUCCUCUCUGAGCUGUGAUGGGGCAUGAUUCUAACAGCUGCGGUUGUAGUGAGGGUUUCUUGGAAAUACCAUGGGUAUAAUGGUCAUAGUACCACAGGAACGUUAAUGUUUUUUUUUUGUUGUUGUUUUGUUUUUUGUUUUGUUUUUAAAGAGAGCAAGAAGAACACAGAGACGAGGAAGCCGAUUUGAUAGCUGGUAAUGAAUAUGUAGGAAAUCUGAUCAUAGUUUUGGAAUGAUAAUAUGGUCUCCUCUUUGCUUUCCAGCAAAAUUUAUAUAUGUGUGCCCACCUGCCUCCCCCACCACCGGAGUGUAAAGCUCUCCCUUGGAAGAAUGUCAGUAGUGACAACGAGGUCAAUCUAUGCAGCUGUGGUGUAAAUCUUCCCUGAAAUCAACUGCACGCAUGUGUUCGUCCUCCCUGGGGGCCUGCGGCCGAAUAAGGCAGGCUGUGUGACUGUGUCCCUGACUGGCUCCCUGCCCCCCACCCCCUCUCGGUGCAAACCCGUCCGGCAAGCUGCCGUCGCUGGCAUCCUCCAGGGGCUUAACCAGCAAUAAGCCAUCUCUGCAGAGAAGGACAUGUGAGGGCUUUGAGCUCCAUCAUGUGACACGCGCUGGGCGUGAAGAGCAGUUGCUUCUCCUUGGCUUUGGAGACCCUCCCUAUUCGGUCACAAUCCUGCCUUCCAAAGACCCCUUCCCUCCACCAGUGUACCUGAGCCACCCCGCCCCCUUCCAGCUUCCCAGACCCGCUGCGACCUCCUGCUGUAAACUUCCCUGUGAUCUGAACCUCUUCUUCCCAGCGCUCUUCCCCAUCCUUCAGUGCGUCUUCCUCAUUGGUUAACUGAAGUGUCUGGCAGAUAGGGGCUUCGAAAAUGUUCGCUCACUGCAGGAGAGAGGGCUUUAGCAGCCCAGUCUGAGUGUUUCAUUUAGCUGUUUGCUCAACACGGCAGGACGGUUCCAGGCCAAGCCUCGGCCACCGUUGUUUUCUCUACCUGGGAUGCCCUUACCUCUGCCCCACAAUCCACAUCCUAUUUACCCUUCCUACUGGGCUCAUUCUCCUCUCCAAGGCCACCCCUCUUGCCUACCCCAUCAGAUCCAGUGGGAGUUUUCCCUUUUUUUUUUUUUUUUUUAAAGAUUUUAUUUAUUUAUUUGACAGAGAUCACAAGCAGGCAGAGGCAGACAGAGAGAGAGGGAAGGGGAAGCAGGCUCCCCGCUGAAUAGAGAGCCCAGUGCGGGGCUCGAUCCCAGGACCCCAAGAUCAUGACCUGAGCAGAAGGCAGAAGCUUUAACCCACUGAGCCACCCAGGCGCCCCAAGUUUUGCCUCUUCUAAAUUCCUGGCGUUCUCAUUGCUCAGGGACCUAGGCCUUAAUCACAUACUUCCCUGCAGGGAGACCUGAAUUUUCCUGGGUUCCCUUAUCAGAUCUGUAUCCACCUCCCCCAGUUCCUCAGGGUCCUGACAGUUGCUGAGCACAGACCAGCUGCUCAAACAUGUCUGAUGGCAAUUGGGCACUUUCUACCUCUCCAAUUCCCCAUAUCCUGUCUGUCAUUCAAAGUCCCGCUCAAGCCCAGCUUCCUCCAUGGUGGCUCUGUGGAUGAUGCCCCACACUGAUCCACAGCUGGCCCUGAGGCCACACUUUCUGUAUCUCACACACCUGUGGGAUGACAUGUCCGGGCACCAAUCCCAGCGUGUAUGCAUAUUCCAUAACUUGUGACCUUUGUGUGUGCCCAGCUGUGUCCUGGCUCUCUGGGUCCCCGGUGUACUCCCAGGUAACAUGCACCCCCACUGAGGCCCUCUUGAGCUGACACUUCUUUCGUUCAUCCAGACACACCAGAAUACUCAAGGCCCAGAAUGUGUGACUGGGUGCCUACUGCCCUCUCAGGAUGACCUUCUGUGUGAGUCACAACUUCUGCUCCUGGAGUUUGAUCCACACACUUCUCAGUAUGGAAGGCUGACAGCAGAGCUCUUUGAGACCAAGUCACCCACCAGCAGGAGACUGAGCAUUUCUGGAGCACAGAGAGAUGCUCUUAGUCCAAAGAAGGCUCACUGUGCCCGGCACAUAGUAGAAAGUCAGUAUGCCUUGAAAUAGAAUAAAAACAACCAUGAUCCUUGAUGGUAAGUGUCCUACUCCAGCAUCUCCAAACGUUGGCUUAUCCACCUUGUAAAACAAUUUUGAAAACCUAUGUACUCAUCCACACAUUUUUACAUUGACAUCUAAAAUUUUUCACACGUUUU